GCUGUGCUGAGAGUUUGGGGUUCCCCAUCCCCACAAUGCUGAGUUUGGGGUUCCCCAUCCCCUCUGUGCUGAGAGUUUGGGGUUCCCCGUCCCCGCAGUUUUUGGGCUGUGCAGAAGAGCUCACAGCAGCCCCUGGUGUUGGUGUUGAACCUCCACGUUCCAAGGGAAUGGUUUUGGGGACCCCAAGCUCCUCAGGGAGGGAGGGGAUGAGGAGGAGAACGGGGAAUGUUCUCGAGUUGCCCAUCUGGGAUUUACGUCCGUGUCGAGUGAGUGAAUCUCCCUGUUCAGUGAUUUAUUUGGGAUCCCUGGGCAGGAGCAUCCUGAGCUCUGCUCCUCUGCUGAGCCCAGCACACCCAGAGGUUUUCUGGGCCAGCAGCAGCAGCUUCCCCCUGUUCUGGUUGAAGAAUUUCCCGUGGUUUCUCUUUGUGUCACUUUGUUUUCCCACGAGCCUGAGCAGGGUCGUGUGCUCUGCCCUCGCUCUCAGCCCACUGCUGCCUUUCUGCUUCUCAACAAUGAUUUCUUUUCCCCUUGGCUGCUCCUCCUGGCCACGCCUGGGCCAGAGGAACCACCAAGGUUUAUCCUCAAACUGGAACAAACCCAAAGGGAUGUGGAUUCUCCGCUGGGACGUGGACUCAGCCUUGUCUGGGGUUAAAAACCUGGAAAAACAUCCCCAGGUGGGAGAAGCGUCAGGGAUUUUUGGGAGUUGUUGGUUUCCCUGUUCUUCACGUCCGCAGGAAGUGGGUUCUGUGUGUCUCAUGUUUUAAGAGUUGCGACUAAUGUUUAUAAAGAGCUUGUUAUUUACGUUUGAAGCACUUUAAAAAAAAAAAUAAAAGUUGUUCAAGCUGUUCCUAGACA
rnacentral:lncRNA from 1 species